GAUGAACGCUGGCGGCGUGCCUAAUACAUGCAAGUCGAGCGAACAGACGAGGAGCUUGCUCCUCUGACGUUAGCGGCGGACGGGUGUGUAACACGUGGAUAACCUACCUAUAAGACUGGGAUAACUUCGGGAAACCGGAGCUAAUACCGGAUAAUAUAUUGAACCGCAUGGUUCAAUAGUGAAAGACGGUUUUGCUGUUACUUAUAGAUGGAUCCGCGCCGCAUUAGCUAGUUGGUAAGGUAACGGCUUACCAAGGCAACGAUGCGUAGCCGACCUGAGAGGGUGAUCGGCCACACUGGAACUGAGACACGGUCCAGACUCCUACGGGAGGCAGCAGUAGGGAAUCUUCCGCAAUGGGCGAAAGCCUGACGGAGCAACGCCGCGUGAGUGAUGAAGGUCUUCGGAUCGUAAAACUCUGUUAUUAGGGAAGAACAAAUGUGUAAGUAACUAUGCACGUCUUGACGGUACCUAAUCAGAAAGCCACGGCUAACUACGUG
rnacentral:rRNA from 1 species